UGCCCUGCUCCGCCACGGGCAGCCGUCACCAUGCCACACAAGAACAUGGGACGCCUCCAAAACCUCACCUUGUGACAAGUGCACAUGGCAGAGAACAGAGGAAAAGUGACCGGCAGACAGGAAGUUGGACAGAGACAAAGAAAGCGAAUAAGGAUCAAACAAUGCUACUGUGCAACUCUGAUGUCCGAGAGCUGGACUAAAGCAGAAGGAAGAGGAGCAAACGCUGUGCUGGUGUCGGCUGCUGUACGGAUGAAAUGGGCUGUUUGACGGCAGCGUCUGGGAAACUCUGAGUGGAGUAAGUGCUGUUUUAGCACCUGUCAGGACUACAGUGGGUGGUGGUUGUAGUUGGCUGCUUUGACGCACAGAGAGUGUCAGAAUUUCCUGUCAGCAGCAAAGAGAGGACGCAGGACCCAGGAUUGGAUGGGAAAAAGAGGAGAGGAGAAACACAGCGUCACAUAUUUAGGACAGCCCCCUUGUCUUUUCUCCUCUACUCAUCAAUUCACCCAUGUCAACAUAAAUAAAUGAGUAGACCACUAGUACUGACGAUUAGGUGAGCAAUCCCAAAAAAAAACUCUUAUACAAAUAUUUGAAAAUGUUUUCAUCCGACACCAACUAUAACGUUCCAGUGACUAAGAAGCAAAUCAUUUUCUAAAUAAAAUAACAUAACAUAACUCUUCUUCUACAGAAACAAACAAACAGACAGCAAGCCCAGAAAACAGAAACAAGCAAUUCCCAGCAGAUCCAACCACAAGGUGGCCUGCAACUUUUCUGUCGCUGAUGGUGGUUUCAAGCGAGAGCCUCGAUGAAAGAUCUCUCUUGGCAACCAUUAUUCAAACAAGGAUGAAAUCCAUGCUUGAUGACAAAACAGACACAGGAAGUCCACAUCUGCUCAGAAACAGUCCGAUGUCCGAAGACUUUAUAUUGCGCUCAAGAUAGUUGAUGACUUUCAAAAUGAAAGAUAAUCUGGCCUUUAUCACAGCCAUACCAUGCAGAUAAAAUAGGAAAUGAAAACCUCUGCUGUCAUAAAUCACACUAGAGGCGUGUGAUUAUGCACCUAUAACAUUAUCAUAUUACAAACCCAGCGAUAUGCAGUGAACCACUAAUGUGUCUGUGUCUGUUAUGUGUGUGGUGGUCCAACGUUUAAGUGCUGAGUGCAGUAUAAUUGAAUCAUUUGACAAUCAGAGAGAUUUACAGCUACUUUAGCAUAUGGGAGCCGUCACAUUAUCAGUUGUAAAAACUGUAAAGCUGAAAUCUGAAAAAUAUGUCAGCACUGUUCUCAUUCCUUCACAUCUAGACUGAAUCUAUUUGAUAAUUUAAUGUAUACUCAGGCUAGAAGGGAAGCAGCAUGAUCUCACUGUAUAUGGGUCUGUUUGAGUGGGUCUGUCAAAUAGUCUGGUGGUCAAGCGCAGACUCGUCUUAUCUGAAUUAACCCAAUUUCUAGUGAUGACCCUUAAGCUCUUAAGCACCUAAAUGCCUUGAAAUCUCAGAGAGGAAGCAACAAGUCAACAAUAUUCAGGAGGCCAUACUGGGUGGAAGAUGUCUCUGCUCCUUUUUUUAAUCUAUGGUGGGGCCCCCAUUUUGUCCCAAUCCCUGUUGCUGGAUUAACAAGGAGUGCAGGCCAUUUCUGUGUAGUGCUCCUCAGCACUUCUCUAAGGCCCAAGCAAUUGUUGUGGAGCAGAGAUAACAGGAUUGGUAUGAGAGAAGUGUCAAUGUAUUCGUGUUGUCCUUCAGCCACAAAGGUGUUCUGCUAUUUGUCCUACGGCAGGGCAAACAAACCCUGAAGCAGUCUCUCA